rnacentral:rRNA from 1 species
AAUGAACGCUGGCGGCAGGCCUAACACAUGCAAGUCGAACGAAGCCUUCGGGUUUAGCGGCGGACGGGUGAGUAACGCGUGGGAACGUACCCUUGGUUCGGAAUAGCCUCGGGAAACUGGGAGUAAUACCGGAUACGGUCGAGAGACGAAAGAUUUAUCGCCGAAGGAUCGGCCCGCGUUGGGAUUAGGGUAGUUGGUGGGGGUAAUGGCCUACCAAGGCGACGAUCUAUAGCUGGUCUGAGAGGAUGAUCAGCCACACUGGGACUGAGACACGGCCCAGACUCCUACGGGAGGCAGCAGUAGGGAAUCUUGCGCAAUGGGCGAAAGCCUGACGCAGCCAUGCCGCGUGAAUGAUGAAGGUCUUAGGAUUGUAAAAUUCUUUCACCGGGGACGAUAAUGACGGUACCCGGAGAAGAAGCCCCGGCUAACUUCGUG